GUCCAUGCCGUAAACGUUGUAUACUUGAUGUAGUUGGGCUCAACCCCGACUGUGUCGAAGCUAACGCGAUAAGUAUACCGCCUGAGGAGUACGCUCGCAAGGGUGAAACUCAAAAGAAUUGACGGGGGCCCCGCACAAGCAGUGGAGAAUGUGGUUUAAUUCGAUGCAACGCGAAGAACCUUACCCAGGUUUGAAAUACAUAGGACAGCUACAGAAAUGUAGUCUCCCGCAAGGGUCUAUGAACAGGUGCUGCAUGGCUGUCGU
rnacentral:rRNA from 1 species